rnacentral:rRNA from 1 species
AUUGAACGCUGGCGGCAGGCCUAACACAUGCAAGUCGAACGAGUGGCGGACGGGUGAGUAAUGUCUGGUAAACUGCCUGAUGGAGGGGGAUAACUACUGGAAACGGUAGCUAAUACCGCAUACCAUACGAUGUGCCCAGAUGGGAUUAGCUGGUUGGUGGGGUAACGGCUCACCAAGGACACGAUCCCUACCUGGUCUGAGAGGAUGACCAGCCACACUGGGACUGAGACACGGUCCAGACUCCUACGGUAGGGAGCAGUGGGGAAUAUUGCACAAUGGGCGCAAGCCUGAUGCAGCCAUGCCGCGUGUAUGAAGAAGGCCUUCGGGUUGUAAAGUUCUUUCAGCUGGGAGGCGUUACCCGCAGAAGAAGCACCGGCUAACUCCGUGCCAGCAGCCGCGGUAAUAC